rnacentral:lncRNA from 1 species
UCAAAUUGGAAUGUGAAAUUUGAAGCUAUCACCGUAGCCAUUUUGCUACCAGAUUGAAAAUAAAGCAUUACAUUGAAAAGGGCACAGCUAAGAUCAUUACAAAGGAGUGAAGCUAUUCCUAAUGCACUAAGCCUAGAGAACAUUCUACAUCUGGACUUUUCUUGAAAGAGAAUAAUUUUCUCACUGUUUAGUGCAGUUUGAGGGAAGGUAUUCUUUGACUUGCUGUGGAAAACAUAAUAUAAAAAGUGUGCAGAAGCCAGAUACUAAAAGGAAAGCCCCAAAGAGAGAAAAACCACAUGGAAAAUAUCUGUCCUCUAACCUCUGAGAGGUUUAUAAGAAAUAAUACAUUCAUCUUGAUUUUUUUUAGAUAAAUUGUUCUGGGUAUAAUGUGAAGAGUGGAGUACAGGAGGGGAGAUUCAGGGACAAGAUAAGCAAUCAAGAAAUGCUGCAAAAACAAAGGUGGUACGGGGGUUUGAACAAGCGUCGUGGUAGAUGUGGAUGCCCAGAUGUAGAUAGAGGCACAUGUUGGUUCAGCUCACUUUAAAGGGAAUGUUGCACACUUUCUAGGUGUACUACACUGUGUUAGAGGUUGAAGCUACAAAGAAUAAGAGUCUUUGCCUUCAAAGAGCUCACAGGUUAGCAAGAGGGAAAGACAGAUCAGCAAUUGGCCAAUAUAACAUAGUCAGUGUGUAGCUGAGGCUGGUGCACAGGUGCUAUGAGAGGACUUACUGAUGCCCCAGGGAGAAAGCAGAGAGGGGAGAUUUCUAGGGAAAAAACACACAAAAUAUUCAAUAUCUAUACUUUACAGCCUCCCAUCUACUCCUUAUUUUAUUGCAAUUUGACUUCAGCUCUUCUCAAUUAAAUUUCCCUCCCUGAGUCUUCAGAGGGAAUUUUAUACUAGAAUUGAAGAUGACCUCCUUCAGCUUAAUUAAACUGUCUUCAGCAGUUCUGUGUGAACUUAAAAUUCACUUCCUUGGAAAAGUGUUUCUAACCAUUUAGAUGGGGAAACAAACCCUCUCAGGUGCUCACAUGUCCUGCUCUAUAACCGCUAUCACCCCCCACAUGUUUUUUAAUGUCCAUCCAUUAUUUGUCCAUAUACAUCAUGGCUUGUUAACUCCCUGGGGACUGUUAACAUUUCAGGCAGGUUCACCAUUGAAUUCAGUUCCCUAGGAGUGUAUGGUAUUUACAAGGUGUUGGGUAAGUAAUUUACCCAUGAAGAAGAAGUAAAUGAAUGGAACACUGACUCUAUGACCAUAAUUAGAAGUUCAAUGCAGAGAGUGAUUGUGGAUAAGGGUGAAGAUGCAGCAGAAGUCAGCUCACCAAAUGACUUGAUACCUUCUUGUGCAGGUGGGAUACCACUGAGGGAAAAUUUAACUCAAGAGGUAGUAUUAACCUGCUGGGCUAGAAAAAGGAAAAUAUGAUUCCAGUGGAAGAGACUUUUCAACAUGGUUUGUAUUGCCUUGAUUCGUUCCUUAUUUACUAUGCACAUGAUACCAGUCAGGAAAAUGGUCCAGGGGGAAAACACUGCAGAUGAAAGUGGGGUGCCAGCCUCUCAGAGAAUGGACCUGAAAUUGAAGAGCUGGAAUGAACGUGAAGUUUAUCCACCUCAGUGGCUCCAAGAUAGAAACAUAAGGUGCCCGAGAAAAUUCAGAAAAUUCCCGAUUCCAGUCUCAGAAGACACUAAUUCACUAGGUGUAGGUGAGGUCUAAGAAUCUAUUAAAAGCCUUUCAGCCAAACCUGAUGGGCAAAGAAAACCUCUGAUCUACCUCAACUCUUUCAUUUGCGCAUAAAGAAACUGACCCCAGAAGAUGUGUUGCUACUGUUCAGCCAUUACUGGCCGAACAAGGAUUAUAAAUUCAGUCUCUUGACCCGGAGGCCAAAGCUCAUAGCAUUAAAUCUAAUGAGGCACAAAAGUUGGCCAGAAGUUGGAAGAACAAAAUUCCGAAGAGAUCAUGUAGCUUCGGUCCCUUAUAAUAAUAUAUUUGCGAAAUUAGUUUUUAGUUCCAGCCAUCUGAGCAACGAGCCACAUAGGUGAGAAGGGACCACAUAAUAAUUUGUAGCCACUUUGUUUAGGGAACUUGGAUCACAGUAAAUCUCACAGAUUUUCUAAACCUGUGUUGACAAAGGACCUGCAGACGGCAGGGUAUUUUACACCAAGCAGUGAGUUAUUAAUGACAUUAAUCAUGAGCAAUAAACAUCUGUUCUUCAGGAAGCCUAAGUACAGAAGAAAAAAGAUGGAUGAACAUUUUUGUGUUAAAGACUUGGACUAGGUGUGUGUUAACUCUAUUUAUUAUUAAAUGAUAGAGUUAUCAAAGGAGAUGGCUUGAUUGUUCUUUGGGGUGGGAUUUUUAGCUUAAAUGUGGAAGGCAUCAGAUCUCUUCAUUGAACACGGUGGAGGGUGAUAUGAGUUGAUGUCUCAGUAGAGCCUAGUAAGACCUCUGUCCUUUCAAGCAUUCCUCAGUCAGUCCCCAAGAGAACUGGUAUAAGUUUGGUCCAGAUCCUGUUUGAAAGUGUGGGUGGUCAGUCACCAUUCCCUUUAUUUUACCCAGAAACAUCAGCUAUCAUUCAACAUGCUUCUGCAGUGAAAACACUGGUCAAGAUCUUCCUUUAAUCCCUCGAGACAAGGACAAAGCAGUCCAUCAUUGUGGAAAAUGACUGCAUCACUACAGGUGACUGGCAGGUCACUAUCUCUACAAAGGCAACAUAAGUCAUUAUAUUAAUUAGGCUUUUCUGAAUUAUAUUUUAGCUUCACUUCCAACCCAUUGUUAAUUUUUGGUCAUUCUUUCACAGUUCAUUCACCCAGUGAAGGAGAGACAGCAAGCAUGUUUUUAGGUUUUCAACAGUUCUAAUAAUGUCUUUUUAAAAAUACAUACUAUGUGUGUGUAUGUUUUGUAUACAUUGUUUAAAAGUUAUUAAUUUACCAAACUUAGUAGACACUGCUUUUUCCCUAUGGAAGUAUACUUCCAAUAAUUAAUUAUUGACAUGAACACUUACCAUAUUUAUCAUAGGAGAGGAAAACCAAGUUACAAGAAAUCUGUGGAUAAUAAAGUAGCAAACAGAUUAUACUUAUGUUGGCCAAUGGGGACCUACCUGCUGUACAGCACAGAGAACUCUACCCAGUAUUCUGUGAUCAUCUUUGUGGGAAAAGAAUCAGAGAGAAUGGAUAUGUGUUUAUGUAUGACUGGAUCACUUUGUUGUGCAGCAGAAAUGAGCACAGCCUUGUAAAUUAACUAUACUUUGAUAAAACUUAAAAUAAUAAUAAAAGAUUACACUUAUGUUAGUUCACAAAGCAUUUUCUCUUUCAUGUAUUAAAACACACUGAUAACACUUGUUUGUAUUUUCAUCUGUUUGCUUAUGCAUUCAGUAAAUAUGGUUUGGGUGUUAAUUAAGUACACGCCACUAAGCUAGAUUUUUGAGGGUAUACAAAUUAAUGAGACAUAAUCUCUGCCCUUCCUUGAGGCAGACUCCACAGUAAAUAGGGCCUAAACAUGACCAAUGAUUCUACAGGAUUUCAUCUUUACACUGAGGGCAAUGGACCACUAUUGGUGGGCUGGGAGGGAGGAGAAGGGAUACAAUCUGCAUUUUUUUAUAUCAUUAAUUCUCUUUUCAGUUAUUAUUAUUAUUAUUAAAGUAUAGUUGAUUUACAAUGUUUCAUCAAGUUCUGUUGUACAAGAAAGUGACCCAAUCACACACAUUUCCCUGUGCUGUACAGUAGGAUCCCAUUGCCCAUCCAUUCAAAAUAUAAGAGUUUGAAUUUCCAAAACCCCCAAAAUGCAUAUCCAUCCCUCUCCCUCCUCCCCCCAGCUCCUGUAAACCACAAGUCUGCUCUUCUUGGCCAUGCUCUGUUUCUGCUUUUUGUUUGUUUGUUAUUUUUAGAUAGGAUCAUCUGUUCCAUAUUUUAGAUUCUACAAAUAAGUAAUACAAUAUGGUAUUUGCCUUUUUCGUUCUGGUGUACUUCACUUAAUAUGAGAGUCUCUAGAUCCAUCCUGUUGCUGCAAAUAGCAUUAGUCUGUCUUUUUUAUGGCUGAGUAAUAUUCCAUUGUAUAUAUGCACCACAUCUUCUUAAUCCAUUCAUCUGUCCAUGGACAUUUAGGUUGUUUCCAUGUCUUGGCUAUUGUGAAUAGUGCUGCUAGGAACAUACAGGUGCAUGUAUCUUUUUCAAUGAAAGUUUUGUCUGGAUAAAUGCCCAGCAGUGGAAUUGCUGGAUCAUAUGGUAGCUCUAUAUUUACUUUCCUGAGGCACCUCGAUACUGUUUUCCAUAGUGGUUGUACCAAUAUACAUUCCCACCAACAGUGGAGGAUUCAGAUUGGUAUGGGAAGAGAUUGGAGGGGACCAGCUGGACGGCCGUUGCAGGAAUUCAGGCAAGAAAUAAUGGCAGGUGGGCAUCACAGAGUCAGCGGGGGAAGAGAGAGAGAAGUACAUACAUUGGAGAGAUAUUCACAGCUUAAAAUCCCCUAGUUUGAGCAUUAAUGAGGUAGAGGCUAGUCCCAAACUUUAAUUUCAGCCUCUGGAGAGAUGACGGUGCCACUCACAGAGUUGUGACACACAGGAAGAAUAGCAGGUGUGAUCUUGGGGUAAUGAUGAGAUGCAUUUUGGGCAUUUUUGUACUGGAAAUGUCAAUAGGGAAGUCCAAAGGAAAUGGCUUCCUUUGAAGUAUAGGGGAGAUUUUUAAAGAGUGUGUUUCCAGGGUAACAAGAAAAAGACAAGAACAACCUUGGGCUCCCAAGAUUUAGGUAGGAAUCAUCCCAAGAUGAAGAAGAUGAAAAAUGAGCCAGGGAAGUGGGAGGAAAGACAAAGUAGUGAGUUGUGGGAAAGUGCUGGAAACCAAAAGGCAAAGAAAGAGAAGGUGGCAUAGGGUGAGUCAGAGUCUUUUGGGACCUUGGCAGAGAAGCUUCACUGGAGACCAGAGGAGAGUUGACAAAGAAGGUGAGAAGGAGGAGAUAUUAGGUGAAAAUAAUGACUCCACAAAGUCCAACUAAUGAUAAAUGCUGUGAAAUAGCAUGAAGAUGGAUGAGGGCUCAAAGGGUGCUUUGAUUUGUGUGUGUCUGAAGACAAGAGAUGUUUCAAGAGCCAAGAAAAAGAAAUAUCAGAGCCUUGAAAGAAAGUAAGAGAAACUGAUGAAGCCAGGAAGUGCCAGAUGGAAAUGGAACUGGAGCCCUGGACCACUGAUAACUCAGAACACAUAGACAACAGGCUAAGGAGGCAGCCUUUCCCUUUAUUUUUUUAUUUGGGAAAAGUAUUCAGAAUAAAGCCACUUGGGUGACUCUGAUUUGAUCCACAGAGGUCCAUUUUUCCUAUUCAUUUAAUUAUAAUAUUCACUGAAGGUCUACCUUGUCCCAGUACUGCGCUAGGCACUCAAAAGGCACGGUGAUAAAUCGAACACAGUCCUUCCCCACAAGGAACCCACUGCUUUACAGGGUGGGAGUGGGGGGGUGGAGCCAAAGCGUGCACAUACACUAAUUCCAAGGCAAUCUCUGAUAAUUUUAGCAUUGAUUUAUAGCUUUCAAUGAGUACCAAAAAAGCCCUCUAUACCUAUUUCUUAGUCUACCUAUUCUAACAGUACUCUAAUACAAUUGCAAAUCACCAUCUCAUAAACGUUGACCACUGGAUGGCUAGAUUAGUUAUUAAUCUAGCCAGGGGGCUGGAAUUAAUUAACCUUAGCAGUGAACAGUAUUUUGACCUUGGUCUAAUCAGGCCAAUUUUCCACUCUGGAGAACAUGAUUAAUUAUCUGGUUCAUUCAGGGAAGGAACCCCAACAGAACAAAACAUGCCAACACACCAGAGUUUUUACCUUAAUUAUUAGGAUUACAAUGCAAUUUUUGACACAGUGUGCCUUUCCUCUGAUAAGAAAAUGCACGAUAAAAUCAAACAAUACUUUAGACCUCUAAAUAGUUAAGGAAAGAGAAGUGAAAAUUCAAUCUAAUUUGUCAGGAAAGGAGAUUUAUUUUGCUAUGAUAUCAAAUGUAUUCUUUUUAUUCACUUUAUUUCAUUGUAUUUUGCAUAAGCUACCCUUUUUAUAAGGCAAGAUGCAAGAUAAUUCUUUGCUAUUAAUA